UACCGGUUGACGUCUCAAUCGCGUUGUGCUUGUUUUGUCCAGUAGAGGGGGCUGCUCGAUAUAGCAGCUUCACUCACUCUUCUUCUUCUAACUACUUGCUCGCGCUAGUUUUAGAGAAAACUGCUGUGGAAAACUUGGCCAGAAGCUAGCAAGUGUCAAGUGAAUCCAUAACAUCACCACAAACGUAUUUUCAAGCCAGAGUGGAGGGGAGGAAGACUGGAUAGGAAGAAGAGAGAAGAAAGAUUGGAGAAGAAGAAGGAAAAAUUAAGGGAGUAAAAAGAGUGAAGCGAGGAGAGUGUGGAAGAGUGAGGUGGAAAGGUAAAGAGAAGGAAAGAAAGAAAGAUCAGGAAGACGAUUGGAGGAGAAGAAAAAGUUAAGAGAGUAAGAAGAGUGACACAAGGAGAGUGAAGAAGAGCAGACAGAGGAGGUACAAUGGCUCUUUCCAAGAAACGGUAAUGCCAUUUUAAUGACAAUAUGAUGAGAGAAUUUCCAUUUAUACGCUCAGGUCAAGACGAUAGAAUGGUUCACUGCACCAUUUGUAAUUCCUCUUUUUCAAUUGGCAGCGGGGGAAGAACGGCAGUGGUAGAACGUCAACAGACAAAAAAGCAUAAAGCCUCUCUGAUUGCCCGUGUUGGUAUGCCCUCUGUCACCACAUUCUUCAAGAAGGUAGAGCCUUCCCAAGAAGAAUAUGAUUUAGCUGUGCAGGAGGGUGUCUUUGCAUACCACACUAUGUGACACAAUCAUAGUUACAGAUCUAUGGACUGCACAGCACAACUGACACGAAAGCUUUAUGAGCCGAAGUUUACAUGUGCUGGGACAAAAUGUGACACCACAGUGAGUAACGUGUUAGCACCAUGGGCAACUACUUUGGUAACACAGGACUUAGACCAGGUUGAAUUUGUGUCCCUGGCCAUUGUUGUGUCCAAUCAUGGACAUGUAAAGCUGCUGCCAAUAGUAGUCAGAUAUUGUAAGAUAUAUGGUGGCAAUUAGAGGUCGACCGGUUAUGAUUUUCAAACGCCGAUACCGAUACCGAUUAUUGGAGGAUCAGAAAAAGCCGAUACCGAUUAAUCUGCCAAUUUUUUUAUUUAUUUGUAAUAAUGACAAUUACAACAAUACUGAAUAAACACUUGUUUUAACUUAAUUUAAUACAUCAAUAAAAUCUAUUUAGCCUCAAAUAAAUAAUGAAACAUGUUCAAUUUGGUUUAAAUAAUGCAAAAACAAAGUGUUGGAGAAGAAAGUAAAAGUGCAAUAUGUGCCAUGUAAGACAGCUAACGUUUAAGUUCCUUGCUCAGAACAUAUGAAAGCUGGUGGUUCCUUUUAACAUUAGUCUUCAAUAUUCCCAGGUAAGAAGUUUUAGGUUGUAGUUAUUAUAGGAAUUAUAGGACUAUUUCUCUCUAUACCAUUUGUAUUUCAUUAACCUUUGACUAUUGGAUGUUCUUAUAGGCACUUUAGUAUUGCCAGUGUAACAGUAUAACUUCCGUCCCUCUCCUCGCUCCUACCUGGGCUCGAAUCAGGAACACAUCGACAACAGCCACCCUCGAAGCAGCGUUACCCAUGCAGAGCAAGGGGAACAACCACUCCAAGUCUCAGAGCGAGUGACGUUUGAAACGCUAUUAGCGCGCACCCCGCUAACUAGCUAGCCAUUUCACAUCGGUUACACCAGCCUAAUCUCGGGAGUUGAUAGGCUGGAAGUCAUAAACAGCGCAAUGCUUGAAGCACAACGAAGAGCUGCUGACAAAACGCACGAAAGUGCUGUUUGAAUGAAUGCUUACGAGCCUACUGCUGCCUACCACCGCUCAGUCAGACUGCUCUAUCAAAUAGACUUAGUUAUAACAUAAUAACACACAGAAAUACGAGCCUUAGGUCAUUAAUAUGGUCGAAUCCGGAAACAACAAGACGUUUCUUUUUUCAGUGAAAUACGGAACCGUUCCGUAUUUUAUCAAACAGGUGGCAUCCAUAAGUCUAAAUAUUCCUGUUACAUUGCACAACCUUCAAUGUUAUGUCAUAAUUACGUAAAAUUCUGGCAAAUUAGGCAGCCCAAACUGUUGCAUAUACACUGACUCUGCGUGCAAUAAACGCAAGAGAAGUGACACAAUUUCACCUGGUUAAUAUUGCCUUGAUUUUGAGAUUUUAUGGUUUUAUGAUUUUAAGAAAGGCAUUGAUGUUUAUGGUUAGGUACACAUUGGAGCAACGAUACGCACCGCAUCGAUUAUAUGCAACGCAGGACACGCUAGAUAAACUAGUAAUAUCAUCAACCAUGUGUAGUUAACUAGUGAUUAUGAUUGAUUGAUUGUUUUUUAUAAGAUAAGUUUAAUGCUAGCUAGCAACUUACCUUGGCUUACUGCAUUCGCGUAACAGGCAGGCUCCUCGUGGAGUGCAAUGUAAUCAGGUGGUUAGAGCGUUGGACUAGUUAACUGUAAGGUUGCAAGAUUGAAUCCCCCGAGCUGACAAGGUAAAAAUCUGUCGUUCGCCCCUGAACGAGGCAGUUAACCCACCCUUCCUAGGCCGUCAUUGAAAAUAAGAUUGUGUUCUUAACUGACUUGCCUAGUUAAAUAAAGAUUAAAUAAAGGUGUAAAAAAAAGAGAGAAAAGAAUCGGCCAAAUCGGUGUCCAAAAAUACAGAUUUCCGAUUGUUAUGAAAACCUGAAAUCGGCCCUAAUUAAUCGGCCAUUCCGAUUAAUCGGUCGACCUCUAGUGGCAACACAUCUGUGGAAACAAAACUGCUUGAUUUUGUUGAAUUGAAAGCAGAAACAGCAGAGGAGAUUGCAGCUGAGGUCCUGGUGGUCAUCCAAAAAUGUAACCUGCAAAACAAAGUCGUGGCAUUCUCUGCCGACAACACAAAAACCAACUUUAGUUUGACUGAAUAGGCUGGGGAGGGUCAAUGUCCAUACCAAAGUUAAAAAUGCUCUGCAGCAGGAGGUGAUUGGCUUAGGUUGUCCUGCCCAUAUAAUUCAUAACACGGCCAGAACAGCUUUGGAUAUGAUUCCCCUUGAUGUUGAGAACCUGCUCACAAAUAUAUUUUCACCGUCAGAAUAGAAAGACUGAAGAGCUUUUGCGAGUUUGUUGGCCAGGAGUACCAUAACAUUUUAGGACACAGAAAUGUUCGCUGGCUGUCCAUGCUCCCUGCUCUAGAAAGAGUGCUGAAAAGGUAUGUGCCAUUGAAAUCGUUUUUUCUUUCUGAAGACAAAUGCCCUGUUGUCCUGCAAACACUGUUCCACUGACUAAGAUCCACUGACUAAACUUUGGCUGGACUUUGUCCAUGGAAACUUGACCGUAUUCAGUGACACGAUCAAGAUGCUUGAAGGCCAGGACCGCUGUGCUGUGGAGUCAGCUGCAAUUCUGAGAAACAUUGAGGCAAAAUUGACUGCAAGACGUGAUGACAACCAGUUUUGGUCAGAGGACUUCUGAGAGAGCUAGAGGGAAAUGGUGCAAUGUCUUAAGAGAGCUUUCUCAAAACGACACACUGCAGGAAAAAUGCCCCAAUGUGACCAUCAAUGAGGAUGCAUUGUUUGACGAGGUUACUGGCCUGCAAGAGUUCCUAAAGGGGGGGGGGUCGCUUGAAGAAUGGAUAACAUCGGAGACACCGCUUAGUCAGAGAUGGAGCACGGUGGUUACCCACUUCAAAGAGCAUGACAUCCCACACACUAACCUGGCUAAAUUAGCGUCUGUUGUCAUGUGCUUACCUGUAAGUAAUGCACCAGUCGAGAGAGUGUUCUCCCAAAUUAAUGAUAUAUGGACAGCAGCAAGAAAUAGGUUCACUGUUCCUUCCAUCAAGGCCAUGCUUAUUGUGAAGAGCAACUUCAACCUCCCCUGCCAGGAGUUCAUAGAGAAGCUGGUCAAAGACAGAGCAAUCCUGAAUAAGAUACAUUCUUCUGAGAAAUAUACAGAUUAGCUUGGUAUAAGUGGUAACGACAUAAUAUAAUCUCAUCAUCGUCAUAUUUCUUUAUUAUGUGGUUAAGUAUUUCACAGACUAUUGUCUGUUUUUUCAAAUUUUCUCAUGUUCUCUUCUGCUCUUGUUCUACCCAGACUACCAGGACCACUGAAUGGCUGUUCAGAUCGGACAGUUCUGUCUUGUCUGUAGUGUUUCUGUAAUAUAGUUAUUUUCUCUAUCACAGUGUGCCUGUUAGACUAAAUACAUGAAACCGGAAUUGUCCCCCUUUUUUAUUUCUUAGAUAAUAACAUUGGAUAGUUUAAUGAUAUAUUGACCGCCGAACUGGAUGUGUCCCCGGUUUUAAUUUCAGAAAUCUUGUAACGGUUUCUCUCCUCCUCUUCGUCUGAAGAGGAGGAGUAGGGAUCAGACCAAAAUGCAGCGGGUUGUGAAGACAUAAUGAAAUAUUUAUUAACAGAACGACGAAACACAAACUUUUUAACAAACUACAAAACAAAUAAACGACGUAGACUGACCUAAAACAUGAGAACUUACAAAUACACGAAGACCGCACGAACAGGUACAGACUACAAACAAACGCUACAGUCCCGUGUGGUACGAACAUACAUACAGACACGGAAGACAAUCACCCACAAACAAACAAUGUGAACAGCCUACCUUUAUAUGGUUCUCAAUCAGAGGAAACGUCAAACACCUGUCCCUGAUUGAGAACCAUAUAAGGCUAAUUACCAAUGAACCUAAACAUAGAAACACAUAACAUAGACUACCCACCCAGCUCACGUCCUGACCAACUAAACAAAGUAAAACAAAGGCAAAUAAGGUCAGGAACGUGACAAAUCUGGUGACCUUAUGUUAGGGCGAGGUUGCAAAGUAGCUAAAAGUUAGCAAGUAGUUUAAAGUUGCUAAUGAUCUAAAAUCAGUGCUUAAUUGAGCCGGAUCCUGCUACCUCUCCAAUGGGACUGUUUUGUUUCGGGACCUAUUUGGCUGGAUCCGGUACCUCUCAUGGCAUGAAAGAUAAUUGUCACCUUUUGCGAUGAAAAAAUGAUUAUAAAAGCGAUCAAAUUGAAUUCGAGUCGCUCAGCCUGAUAUUCUAAGAGUUGAUUUGGGUUGGUUCUGAACAGGUUUAUGGUUUGCGCAACGUGUUUGACGCUUGGCCAUGGCUGUGUGAGAAGCGCGGCAGUAUCUCUCGCAUAAUUAUAAUGAGAUUUGUAUUAUCGCAUUCCCUCUCUGCUGUGAUAGACAUGAGCUUGCAACUCUCAUCUCUCUUGCGUUGCACUUCAUAAUUGAUUUCCUUAUAUAAUCAUUGCCGUGCGGAGGGUUCUGAAAGAACUGCAGCGCGCCCCUGUAAAUUGAAAUACAUUAGUCAAAAUUAUAGAAUUACUGCUGUCUGUUCAUAAAGAAAUGACAUCAUUCAGAAUAGCCUACUACGCCAAGAGAAGCCCUAUAAUUUAGCCACAGAGGAUCAAUCGCUUAUUUUAAAAAUAAAUAAAUAGCCUAGCUGUGGAUUGUAGCCCAAUAACAAGGAAUAGCCUACAGUCGGGAACGCGCGGCAAGUCUGUCGGUGAAAAAGCAGCAUGCAGACAAAACAGGACUUUCACAAUAUUUCAAAUACAAUUGAGGGAAAACAAAGGUUAGAAAGCAAAUGGCUCCUGCUGAAAAGUGAAGACUGUGCUGCAGGCUACCAAAAUAUUUGAUCAACUUCCAAAUAUUGUUUUGAGAGAGAGAGAGGCUUUUGGCACGAGCCCAUCCGCCAUCACAAUGAGCUGCGCAACAUUGUGCGAGUCAGUGAAACUGGAUAGCAUUUUUAGGAUUAUAAUUUCCUCAUAUUGUAGCCUACAAUAUGUGUCUCCACACACCUAGGCUAUUGAUGGAUUCAAGACAAGGUAUUUCUUUAUUGAUCUCAGAUUCUCAGUUUGUCCGUGUCAAAGUAGCCUGUCAUUUCCAUCAUUUGUGCGAUAUUAAAAAAGAUCCUGCCAAAGUCUCCAGUCAUGUAAAAUGACAUAGAAUCCCACGAAAUGUGUUAAUAAAAGGCAAACAUUUUCAAGGACCCUAGGCUACUAAAAAUAUUCCCAAUGGGUACAACUUCUGCAAGCACCUCUAAUCUAGUGCUCAAUGCCACUUCGCAAAUGCGAUGAUAUGCAUGCAAUGCUGUUUUUUUGGUGUUUUUUUAAGCAUUCCGGUACCUCAGAACUCCUCAGGACACUCCCCUCUCGUGCUAACUUUUUGUUCUGGCACCUCCCGAUUGACAAAUUAACAAAAAUGCUAAAGUUGUCCAUGAUAGCCAUUCAUUCAUUCAUUGUAUUUGAUGGGCCUAUGAUUCAGUGAGGGAGUGUUUGCUCUUCCUGGUUUUCCCCUUUUUACUCAAAGUGAUCGUUGCUAUAGUCUGCAUAUACACUAUGGACGUUUAUUUGCUAAUUGUUCAUGUCAAAAUUUGACUUGAAUGUAGGCUGUAUGGUGUAUUUAAUAUACACUACAUGACCAAAAGUAUGUGG